rnacentral:rRNA from 1 species
CAGUAGCCGCGGGAAUACGUAGGGCGCAAGCGUUAUCCGGAAUUAUUGGGCGUAAAGAGCUCGUAGGCGGUUUGUCGCGUCUGCCGUGAAAGUCCGGGGCUCAACCCCGGAUCUGCGGUGGGUACGGGCAGACUAGAGUGAUGUAGGGGAGACUGGAAUUCCUGGUGUAGCGGUGAAAUGCGCAGAUAUCAGGAGGAACACCGAUGGCGAAGGCAGGUCUCUGGGCAUUAACUGACGCUGAGGAGCGAAAGCAUGGGGAGCGAACAGGAUUAGAGACCCCUGUAGUCCCUGUCUCUUAUAC